rnacentral:rRNA from 1 species
AUUGAACGCUAGCGGGAUGCCUUACACAUGCAAGUCGAACGGAGUGGCGAACGGGUGAGUAAUGUAUCGGAACCUGCCCAGUCGCGGGGGAUAACUACCCGAAAGCGUAGCUAAUACCGCAUACUAUUGGAGCAGCCGAUAUCGGAUUAGCUAGUUGGGGGGGUAACGGCUCACCAAGGCGACGAUCCGUAGCUGGUGUGAGAGGAUGACCAGCCACACGGGGACUGAGACACGGCCCAGACUCCUACGGGAGGCAGAAGUGGGGAAUGUUGGGCAAUGGGGGAAACCCUGACCCAGCCAUGCCGCGUGAGCGAUGAAGGCCUUCGGGUUGUAAAGCACUGUUGGCAGGAAAGCGGUACCUGAAGAGUAAGCACCGGCUAACUACGUGCCAGCAGCCGCGGUAAUUC